rnacentral:lncRNA from 1 species
GCUUCCUUUGAUCAGCCAAGAAAAGAAGAAGAAAGGAAAAGAAAAAGAAAAUAAAAGAAAAGAAGAAGAAGAAAAGAGAGAAAAGUGUCCUCUCUCUUUUGAGUCUCUAGGAUUUUUCCCUCUCUCAUUCUCUCUCUUCCACUUCUCUCUCUAGAAGAUGGUGGGAUCUUAGAUGCUAUUUUCUCUCUCUAUUUUUUCUCUCUAAAAAUACCUAUGGACC